rnacentral:rRNA from 1 species
AGCGAACGUUUGCGGCGGGCUUAACACAUGCAAGUCGAACGGGCUGUUCCUUCGGGGGCAGUCAGUGGCGCACGGGUGCGUAACACGUAGGUAAUCAACCCUCUGGUUGGGGAUAACACUUCGAAAGGAGUGCUAAUACCCGGUAUGGCGCAGCGGUCUUCGGAUCGCGGCGAGAAAGACCCGCAAGGGUUGCCAGAGGACGAGCCUGCGGCCCAUCAGCUAGUUGGCGAGGUAACGGCUCACCAAGGCGAAGACGGGUAGCUGGUCUGAGAGGAUGAUCAGCCACACUGGAACUGAGACACGGUCCAGACUCCUACGGAGGCAGCAGUGGGGAAUAUUGCGCAAUGGGCGAAAGCCUGACGCAGCCACGCCGCGUGAGCGAUGAAGGCCUUCGGGUCGUAA